rnacentral:rRNA from 1 species
AAGUCGAACGGAGCUGAGAGGAGCUUGCUUUUCUUAGCUUAGUGGCGAACGGGUGAGUAACGCGUGAGUAACCUGCCCUGGAGUGGGGGACAACAGUUGGAAACGACUGCUAAUACCGCAUAAGCCCACGACCCGGCAUCGGGUUGAGGGAAAAGGAGCAAUCCGCUUUGAGAUGGACUCGCGUCCAAUUAGCUAGUUGGUGAGGUAACGGCCCACCAAGGCGACGAUUGGUAGCCGGACUGAGAGGUUGAACGGCCACAUUGGGACUGAGAUACGGCCCAAACUCC